rnacentral:misc_RNA from 1 species
GAUGAAGAACGCAGCGAAAUGCGAUAAGUAAUGUGAAUUGCAGAAUUCCGUGAAUCAUCGAAUCUUUGAACGCACAUUGCGCCCUCUGGUAUUCCGGGGGGCAUGCCUGUCCGAGCGUCAUUUGCAACCCUCAAGCCCGGCUUGUGUGAUGGGUGCCGUCCCCUACGGGACGCGCCCCGAAGGCAAUGGCGGCGUCGCGGUUAUCCGAUCAGCCAAAGUGUAUGGGGCUUUGUCACUCACUUUACGGCCCGGACCGGCGCCAGUCCGAAUCAAUCUUUUUUCUAAAGUUGACCUCGGAUCAGGUAGGGAAACCCGCUGAACUUAAGCAUAUCAAUAAGCGGAGGA